GCGGCGGGCGGAAGGCAUCACUUUGUCCGGACUCUAAUUCAAAUUGUAUUCAUCCGAUCUUCACCAAACUUGGUCAGCAGUUGCAUCUAGUUGAUAUCUAGGCCAAGUUCGAAUAUGGGUCAUGCCGGGUCAAAAACUAGGUCAUAGGGUCAAUAAGUGCAUUUUCAAAGGGGCCACUUUGUCCGGACUCUAUUUCAAAUUGUAUUCAUCCGAUCUUCACCAAACUUGGUCAGCAGUUGCAUCUAGUUGAUAUAUAGGCCAAGUUCGAAUAUGGGUCAUGCCGGGUCAAAAACUAGGUCAAAGGGUCAAUUAGUGCAUUUUACUUUGUCCGGACUCUAAUUCAAAUUGUAUAAAUCUUAUCUUCACCAAACUUGGUCAGUAGUUGCAUCUAGUUGAUAUCUAGGCCAAGUUCGAAUAUGGGUCAUGCCAGGUAAAAAACUAGGUCAUAGGGUCAAUUAGUCCAUUUUCAACAGCGCCACUUUGUCCGGACUCUUAUUCAAAUUGUAUUCAUCCGAUCUUUACCAAACUUGGUCAGUAGUUGCAUCUAGUUGAUAUCUAGGUCAAGUUCGAAUAUGGGUCAUGUCGGGUCAAGAACUAGGUCAUAGGGUCAAUUAGUGCAUUUUCAACGGCGCCACUUUGUCCGGACUCUAAUUCAAAUUGUAUUCAUCCGAAACUUUUAAACAACUUUUUAUCCUGCGUCAAAGUGGUAUGGGGGUAUAAGUCACAUUCAGUGACAAAGCUCUAGUUCAAGUUGAUAUCAAUGCAUAUAUAUGAAUAUAUCAGUUAUAUAA